rnacentral:rRNA from 1 species
GAAUCUUAGACAAUGGGGGAAACCCUGAUCUAGCCAUGCCGCGUGAGUGAUGAAGGCCUUAGGGUUGUAAAGCACUUUAAGUUGGGAGGAAGGGCAGUAAGCGAAUACCUUGCUGUUUUGACGUUACCGACAGAAUAAGCACCGGCUAACUCUGUGCCAGCAGCCGCGGUAAUACAGAGGGUGCAAGCGUUAAUCGGAAUUACUGGGCGUAAAGCGCGCGUAGGUGGUUCGUUAAGUUGGAUGUGAAAUCCCCGGGCUCAACCUGGGAACUGCAUCCAAAACUGGCGAGCUAGAGUAGGGCAGAGGGUGGUGGAAUUUCCUGUGUAGCGGUGAAAUGCGUAGAUAUAGGAAGGAACACCAGUGGCGAGGGCGACCACCUGGGCUCAUACUGACACUGAGGUGCGAAAGCGUGGGGAGCAAACAG